rnacentral:misc_RNA from 1 species
UACAGAGGGUGCGAGCGUUAUUCGGAUUUACUGGGCGUAAAGCGUGCGUAGGCGGUUUUUCAAGUCGGAUGUGAAAUCCCCGAGCUUAACUCGGGAAUUGCAUCCGAUACUGGGAAGCUAGAGUAUGGUAGAGGAUGGUAGAAUUCCAGGUGUAGCGGUGAAAUGCGUAGAGAUCUGGAGGAAUACCGAUGGCGAAGGCAGCCAUCUGGCCAAAUACUGACGCUGAGGUGCGAAAGCAUGGGGAGCAAACAGG